rnacentral:rRNA from 1 species
CUUGGGAGUCAGAAUGUGGGUGAUAAGGUCCAUAUUCGAAAGGGAAACAGCCCAGACCACCAGCUAAGGUCCCAAAAUAUAUGUUAAGUGGAAAAGGAUGUGGCGUUGCCCAGACAACUAGGAUGUUGGCUUAGAAGCAGCCAUCAUUUAAAGAGUGCGUAAUAGCUCACUAGUCGAGUGACACUGCGCCGAAAAUGUACCGGGGCUAAACAUAUUACCGAAGCUGUGGAUUGUCCUUUGGACAAUGGUAGGAGAGCGUUCUAAGGGCGUUGAAGCAUGAUCGCAAGGACAUGUGGAGCGCUUAGAAGUGAGAAUGCCGGUGUGAGUAGCGAAAGACGGGUGAGAAUCCCGUCCACCGAUUGACUAAGGUUUCCAGAGGAAGGCUCGUCCGCUCUGGGUUAGUCGGGUCCUAAGCUGAGGCCGACAGGCGUAGGCGAUGGAUAACAGGUUGAUAUUCCUGUACCACCAUUAUUCGUUUUAAGCGAUGGGGGGACGCAGUAGGAUAGGCGAAGCGUGCUGUUGGAGUGCACGUCCAAGCAGUGAGAU